AACGUAGGUGGCGAGCGUUAUCCGGAUUUACUGGGCGUAAAGCGUGUGCAGGCGGGGGAUCAAGUGGUGUAUGAAAUCGCUCGGCUUAACCGGGCGCGGUUAUGCCAGACUGAUACUCUGGAGUGCGGGAGAGGGGCGUGGAAUUCCGGGUGUAGUGGUGAAAUUCGUAGAUAUCAGGAGGAACACCGGUGGCGAAGGCGGCCAUCUGGACGACAACUGACGCUGAGAUGCGAAAGCGUGGGGAGCAAACAGG
rnacentral:rRNA from 1 species